rnacentral:rRNA from 1 species
GUGGGGAAUAUUGGACAAUGGGCGAAAGCCUGAUCCAGCCAUGCCGCGUGUGUGAAGAAGGUCUUCGGAUUGUAAAGCACUUUAAGUUGGGAGGAAGGGUAGUAACCUAAUACGUUGCUACUUUGACGUUACCGACAGAAUAAGCACCGGCUAACUUCGUGCCAGCAGCCGCGGUAAUACGAAGGGUGCAAGCGUUAAUCGGAAUUACUGGGCGUAAAGCGCGCGUAGGUGGUUCAGUAAGUUGGAAGUGAAAUCCCCGGGCUCAACCUGGGAACUGCUUUCAAAACUGCUGAGCUAGAGUACGGUAGAGGGUGGUAGAAUUUCCUGUGUAGCGGUGAAAUGCGUAGAUAUAGGAAGGAACACCAGUGGCGAAGGCGACCACCUGGACUGAUACUGACACUGAGGUGCGAAAGCGUGGGGAGCAAACAGGAUUAGAUACCCGAGUAGUCC